UAUCUCAUAAGUCAUAACCCUAGAUCUGAUUCAUCUGAAACCGCCGAAACUCCCAUCUCCCUCAUCAUCUUCGCCGCAACUCCCUCGUCAUCUCCGCGCCUCCUCUACCUCCGCCGCCUCCAAUCACCGCCUCCAGCGCUCAGCGCCGCCAAACCCCCAGCCCGCAGCCUCCAGCUCUCCAUCUUCGACCCCCUGUCCAGAUCCGCCCGAACUCACCUCAGGCCGCCGCCUGACCGCCGCCGGCAGCCUCGAGAUCCAGCGCCCAGCCGCCUCUCCCCUGACGUCAAUGGUGUCCUCAACACUGAAGAGCGUUCGUUACCUGGAAUUCAAGAAGACUUGUGGUUAUCAACAGAGUCAACCUCUACCUUAGAUGGUGAAAGCUACAAAUUGGAAAAUCUUGAAGGAGACUUGUUUGAGAAUGAACGAGCUUCCAUCCACUUUUUUCUUAAUAUGUUCUUUUGGAAAGUUGUAAAACUUCUUUAUGUAUGAGUUAAGAUCUUGGUGUGUAGCAAAUUUCACUUUAAAAUACCUCUUUGUUUCCUAUGUAUGUGGUAAUGUGAUACUGACUUACUAGAUAAGUUGGAUUAUUGGAUAAGCUGGUAACUGGUGAUUGCUAUGUUGUUUUA